GGCAAUCCCAACACCAGUAUGUAUCAGAGCAUGAUGGAGUAACCAGGGGUAGGGCAGAGACAUGAUCAAUUUCUAUAGACUAUAAUUGUAAAGAGUAUCAUCAGAAGAACAUCAGAUGGAGAUGGUGUCCAGAUAACACAGAAAAAUAUCAAAUAAAGAGACCUCAUGCAAGCCACUAAAUACAGUGACACAAUGAUCUGAAGUCAUUUCUGCUUUGGUCCUUAGAUGAUCAAAUCAUUUCACUUAUGGGCUUCCUAUAUUUAACAAGACUAUAUGUGGGUUGAUCUUGUCUGGAUUUGCCCUGAACCAGCGUCCAGCUGAUGUGUAGGACUCACCCAGGUCUACAGUGUGGAUAUGGACUUCUGCUGGCUUCUCUUCAGCUCUGUGCUCCUUUGCACAAGUAGAUGUUGCCAUCUCAGUGGCUCUCUUCUCACAGGACCAGCUGGACAACACUCAGGUGUAAUUCUGACAGCUAUGUGACAGAGGGGAAGGACAACACUCAGGAGUAAUUCUGACAGCUGUGUGACAGACAGAAGGAGGAGUGUGCACACAAAGAUGAGCACGGUGUUGAGAGUGGCCUCAUCGUAUGUCUUAGGAAUUGAACGCAUUUAAAUAUAUCAGUUCAGAAACCCCAGGAAUGACUGCAUGAAACAAAAUGACCAGUUUCGUUUCAGCCAGCAUAGAAGUGAUAAGAGCAAAGCAUCAGGGGAAUUUUCAGUGGAUGUUUCCCCAGCAUAAGUGCAGGGUCCUGGUGCCUAGUGUUCUAUAGAGAGACUUGUUCUCAGCCAAGACAGCUGAUGAUCCAGGGGUGUGUUUUG